CAUACUAUUAAUUAGCAAUAAAGGUAGCAUUUUCGCGGUCAUAGAACUUACAUAAAAUAAGUUUUUCUUUAUAUAUCUAGAUAUUUUCUAAGCUUUAUUGUGUGUAAAAAAAGCGUAGCAAGUGAACACUCACACAAUCAACGUCAAACACACACACAAUUCAGGCGGACAUCUUUAUAAAUUAUAUGUAAAUUCCAUGGCCGUGACAAAUUGCGUACAAAGUUAGCAGCAUGAUUUUCGAAGAUGUCGAGCAGAUCGGACAAUGGUUCUUGUCGCGAUGUAACAAAGUACGCGUCGGGAGUGCCGUGCAAAGUGUCGCGCGAUCGUUGUAAUCAGCUGAUUAGUGCGCGCACGCGAUCGUAAUUAACCGUGCUUUCGCGAGUGUUGUGAGUGCCAUAAACGAACAGUAAAGGAUGAACAAGAGACGAGGAGAAGGAGAUUCAGGAAGGCAUCGGACGACGGAGCAAUCCUCAGACUCGCAUCCUAGAACAAUAUUCCGUCUGGUUUGAAGAAUGCUAUAGUCCGUUCACGUAUCACCAGUUUCGGCCUUCCGGUGCCAUCCGGAACGCGCUCACGCUCUCGAAGAACCCUGUUUGCACGCGGCACGGGAGUACACCGAGGACACUUGGUAUGAGGAACGCGUAGCUACGCAGCAAGAUCGUAGCUCAACGUGGGAUAUACCCUCCUCCAGCCUUGCCAAGAUGCCGAAAGCACACACCAACCUAUACUUCGGGAUACGAAUAUAGUACGAGUUCGACUAUAGGAGGCUUGCGAGCUCGCAGCGUGGUACCAUCGGAGCACGGAUAAUGAGACGGCCCCCGACCAAGAGGAGUUGAUAUGCCGCUAUAGUCUCGUCGAAGACGGGAAUCCUUGCAACGGACGCACACGAAGAUCUUGGAGCUGAUCUUCGUCGAUACGGGAGUAGAGCGCUGCAUUACCGGCAAGCCUCGUAAACGGCCAUAGCAGCAAGCGUGGAGGUUCACGAGAAGGAGGGAUAAACGAGUCGAGCCACGAUUUCGUUGUCGUAAACGUCAAAGUUACGGUUACAGCGUUGUUCCUAGCUGCUUUAUAUUGAACGAGGUUGCUCCCCGAGAUGUGCACCGUAAAAGAGGUUCUCUCUCAAUGGGCUUGAAUGAAGAGAUGCCUAAAUAGCACCCCAGCCUCUCUAUCGUCGCGCCCUCUAAUUACCCUGUAGACGCAGUCAACCCCUCAAUGAGCAGUGAUAAAUAUUGUUCGCGUUUGGGUAUAUCCUGAGGAAGUGAUCCGGCUCUAUAAAGGAAGAUAUAUAUGUCUCAUUGCUAUUGAUCUCUUGUAUAAUCGGAGACGAAGAGGAAAAAAAAAUGCCUGACCCUUAAACCGGACCGAAGAACGCGGGAAGGAGAUUCCCGCCGACAAAAAUGAAGCGACUUGGAGCAAAAAAAAAAGGAAAGAGAUAGUAAAAAGAACUGCUAGCUAGGAAUCUCUAGGAUCUCAGCUGAGCUACGGUAAAGAAAGCAUUCUGACCGAAAGUGCGAUAGAACCCACGAGGCCUUGAUGAUUAUAUAUCUACCAGCGGCAAAGCAGAAGGUUAUUCGGGAUUGUAUCUCUCUCUUUCUCGCAAUGAAAGGGACAAAGACAUCGCUAGAAACAGCUGACUACCGGAAUUCGGGGUUCCGGUGGGGUGAGUACAGUGGGGAAGGCACUUGAACCCCCAAUUGGACUUCCCCAUUAUACCCAGCGUACCCAACGAUUUUACACGCACUUGACUCCAUUCUACCUAUCUACCAGACAUAAUUUUGCCAAGGUACACGGCCGAUUUUCCACGACACAGCUCGCGUGCGUUGACAUUGCAUACGCGAUGAAAAUGAAAAACUCAUAAAACUUAUGUCGCGUACAAAGAAGUAGGAUAAGACGAGCAAUUUAAAAGCAAUUGUAUACAUAUAUAUCUGAAACGUGGCGAUAACGAUAGUAUAAUUGCGAACGGAAAUUUCUCGUGCAAAAAUAAAUCGAAAAUGUAGAAUGAAAUUUUUCUACUGUACGAUUUCGCGUUUCCUAGAAAAUAUCAAAUCGAUAAAAAUGUAUAUUUUCAAUCGCUAUAUUUAACCAUCCCGAUAUCUUCACAAAGAUUGUACAAGUAUAAAAGUCAAGUAGAGAUAUCGAACCGAUUUUCUUGGAAAUGAAACUUUCUGCGAAAAAAUUUCAUUCUACAUCUCCGACUUAUU